AACGAACGCUGGCGGCAUGCCUAACACAUGCAAGUCGAACGAGACCUUCGGGUCUAGUGGCGCACGGGUGCGUAACGCGUGGGAACCUGCACUUAGGUUCGGAAUAACUCCCCGAAAGGGGUGCUAAUACCGGAUAAUGUCUUCGGACCAAAGAUUUAUCGCAUUUGGAUGGGCCCGCGUUGGAUUAGCUAGUUGGUAGGGUAAAAGCCUACCAAGGCGACGAUCCAUAGCUGGUCUGAGAGGAUGAUCAGCCACACUGGGACUGAGACACGGCCCAGACUCCUACGGGAGGCAGCAGUGGGGAAUAUUGGACCAUGGGCGAAAGCCUGAUCCAGCAAUGCCGCGUGAGUGAUGAAGGCCUUAGGGUUGUAAAGCUCUUUUACCCGGGAUGAUAAUGACAGUACCGGGAGAAUAAGCUCCGGCUAACUCCGUG
rnacentral:rRNA from 1 species